rnacentral:lncRNA from 10 species
UGAGAGAGAUGGGGGAGGAGGGAUUGGAAGGGAGUAUACAGUAGGAUGUGAGGGAGUUGGGGGAGGAUGGAUUGGGAGGGAGUAUACAGUAGGCUGUGUAGGAGAUGGGGAGAGGAAUUGGAAGGGAGUAUACAGUAGGCUGUGAGGGAGGUGGGGAGGAUGGAUUGGGAGGGAGUAUACAGUAGGCUGUGUAGGAGAUGGGGAGGAUGGAUUGGAAGGGAGUAUACAGUAGGCUGUGAGGGAGGUGGAGAGGAUGGAUUGGAAGGGAGUAUACAGUCGGCUGUGAGGGAGUUGGGGGAGGAUGGAUUGGGAGUAUACAGUAGGCUGUGUAGGAGAUGGGGAGGAUGGAUUGGAAGGGAGUAUACAGUCGGCUGAGGGAGUUGGGGGAGGAUGGAUUGGAAGGGAGUAUACAGUAGGCUGUGUAGGAGUUGGGGGAGCAUGGAUUGGAAGGGAGUAUACAGUAGGCUGUGAGGGGGUUGUGUGGCACCCCUUGAGGAAACGUCAGACUAAGAUGGAAACAUAACACCAAACCUCACAUGAGGAGUUUCCAUAACGUUUCUCACCUUGCCAAAAAAUGCUUUACGUAUACUGUCUAGAAAUAGGAAUUUUAAAACAGCCUUUGUUAAUGAAAUUCAGUGAGAUCUCUAAAUGUCAUGUGUCUGUGUCAAUGUAGCGUUAAUAACUCUGUGGAAAGGAAUCUCCAAUAUCCGGUUAUAUUUGCAACCUUGUUGUCAGAGCGCAGAGGUAACUGCCCCGUCAUAUACGGAGUAGACACUGUGCAAAGUGUGUUCUUCCAUAAGAUCAAGACGGUAUCUUUCCACAUAAGCUUCCCUCUCUGUAAGGACCUUCUCCAAAAUAGCUGAGCCUUCUGUAAAACUGCUUGUGAAAAAAGAAUUGCAGGACGUCUCAAUUACCUGGUCCAUGCCCACUAAAUGCCAGUCAAGCAGUACCUUUCCUCAACAGUGACAGAAGCAGCAAUACCUCCCACACAUCUCCAAAAUGCCCCCUAGGCUUCCCAAGCAAUCACCUUUAGAUCCUAUCGUCACUCUGGGUGGCACAAGGUCCCAGGCCAACUUGUAGUGGAGGAAUAGGGUAUAAUUUCCCCUUGAAAUCAGCUCAAAAUGUUCUCUUGGUGCUUCUUUAUGGACUGUUUCUAGUACGUGGCUUUUCACGAUGACUGGUUCUUUCACUGUCCUUGAUUCCUGAAUUUCCUGAAUCUCCUGGAGCCUGGCAUUUGUUCUUGAUUGACAUUCGGAUGGUUCUGAACCCUCCCUGUAUCCUGGACACCAGUUUUGUUUAGGUUGGUACUCUGGUUCUCUGCAUGCCCAUUCUUGCUAAGCCGGUCAUGAUUUCCAGCUAGUUUCAGCAGCUCCCCUGUUCCCACGGCCAUUUUCACAUGAUAUCUCCCAAAGGCUUUUAAAAUGAAAACCUUUUACACUGGCUACGUUGGGUUCAUAUUAAAGCAAUCCUUUCCCUUACUCAAGGAAGUAAUAAUUAUAUAGGCCAAAUUAAUAAACCCUCUUGUGCAAGUUUUAUAUAUGCCAACAACUAUAAAAACACUUUUUACAAAACUGACAUUAACUAGUACAAUCAUUAUAAUGUAGCUAACAUUAAUUCAUCGUAUCUAAAACCCUUAAGCAUCUUCCAUAACCUGUUUUUUCGACUCCACUUCUUCCUGCAUUCCCAGAGCUGGAUCUUCAGCUGCCACGCUUCUUCCUCGUGUACAACAGUAGUUCUUAAUCUGUUUUGAGUCUGGACCCCUUGGAGGAGCUGAAGAACUCUACACAGAUCCUUUCC